AUUGAACGCUGGCGGCAGGCCUAACACAUGCAAGUCGAACGAGUGGCGGACGGGUGAGUAAUGUCUGGGAAACUGCCUGAUGGAGGGGGAUAACUACUGGAAAUGGUAGCUAAUACCGCAUACCAUCAGAUGUGCCCAGAUGGGAGUAGCUUGUUGGUGGGGUAACGGCUUACCAAGGCGACGAUCCCUAGCUGGUCUGAGAGGAUGACGAGCGACACUGGAACUGAGACACGGUCCAGACUCCUACGGGAAUCAGCAGGGGGGAAUGUUGCACAAUGGGCGCAAGUCUGAUGCAGCGAUGCCGCGUGUAUGAGGAAGUCCAUCGGGUUGUUAAGUACUUUCGGCGGGGAGGCGUUACCCGCAGAAGAAGCACCGGCUAACGCCGUGCCAGCAGCCGCGGUAAUAC
rnacentral:rRNA from 1 species